rnacentral:tRNA from 1 species
AUAGCUCAGUUGGUAGAGCAACGGAUUGAAAAUCCGUGUGUCCCCAGUUCGAUCCUGGGU